GGCCGAGUGGUCGCUGCUCGGCGUGCCCGCGGCCCCUCCCAAUGCGCCUGCGCUUCCCCGGCUCCUAGCAACCGCCAGGCAGGAGCAGCAGAGGACCGAGCGGUCGUUGGUCUCCCCAAGGGAACCUGCACUUGAUGGAUCAGCUGGCACCACCCAGAUCAAUAAACUGGCUCAUCAGAUCUUGUGGCCCCUCACCCAGGAACUGAUAAGGGCAAGAAGACCGCUUUGACUCCCUAUGAUUUCAUCUCUGACCAAUCAGCACUCCUGGCUCACUGGCUUCCCCCCACCCAAGUUAUCCUUGAAAACUCUGAUCCCUGAAUGCUUCAAUGCUCAAGGAGAUGGAUUUGAGUAAUAAUAAAACUCUAGUCUCCUGCACAGCCAGCUCUGUGUAAAUUACUCUUUCUCUAUUGCAAUUCCCCCAUCUCGAUAGGCUCUGUCUAGGCAGCGGGCAAGGUGAACCCCUUGGGUGGUUGCAAGCCGAGUCGCCCAACACCCUCUUCCAAAUGCACAGCUGUUGCUUUGCAGGCUGCAAGGCUCCU
rnacentral:lncRNA from 10 species